AGUGUAUGUAAACUUCUGACUUUAACUGUCGGUCUGUACACAGCAUUCUCUCUCCAUCUUCAGGUGGGUCUGUACACAGCAUUCUCUCUCCAUCUAUAGGUAGGUCUGUACACAGCAUUCUCUCUCCAUCUAUAGGUGGGUCUGUACACAGCAUUCUCUCUCCAUCUUCAGGUAGGUCUGUACACAGCAUUCUCUCUCCAUCUUCAGGUAGGUCUGUACACAGCAUUCUCUCUCCAUCUUCAGGUAGGUCUGUACACAGCAUUCUCUCUCCAUCUUCAGGUAGGUCUGUACACAGCAUUCUCCAUCUUCAGGUAGGUCUGUACACAGCAUUCUCUCUCCAUCUUCAGGUAGGUCUGUACACAGCAUUCUCUCUCCAUCUUCAGGUAGGUCUGUACACAGCAUUCUCAGAAUCUUUAGGUAUGUUUUUUUUAAAUAUGUUUUAAAUGUAACCUUUAUUUAACUAAUGUAUUUAGUUGUAGAACAUAUCUAAGGCCAUAUUGUCCCUGGCAGUUAAUUCAAAUCGUCCUGUGAAGUGGGGUAAUAGGUCCAGUUCACAGCAGCCAGAUGAUGUAUAUACGAAGUGUGGUAAAGUUUGCCCUCUUGUGGAAUUGAAAGAAGAGUCCCCAUUUUCUUGUUUUUUUGCAUCAGAAGCUGAAGCAAAGAAGUUAUAUAACCCCCCCCCCCCACCCACAUAAUUGUAACCAAUGUUUCAAACUUAAUUCAUGAGCUGAGUACAAAGCUGUACUGUAAUAAGGGAUAGUGUACCAUAACAUAGUCUCCAGCCGCAUCACACAGAGUCCAAAGGAGAUAUAGGAACAAUGGUAAAAAAAUAUAUAUAUAAAAUUCCUUGGUAAUGUUAGUCCCAAGCAGUGUUAGUAUUUAAACAGUGUGUUUAGUAAGUUUGGGUUGUGCUUGUCUGACACGUAUAUAUACCCUCUCUCUCAUGGUCAGGUGACAGGCUACCACUGGACGCCCACAUAGAGUCCAUGGUCCAACCACCUUCCAUCAGCCUAGAAACUGGCAGAACCGACAAAAGCCCGGACGGCUGCUCCAACGAUUUCUAGUCCCAAUCCGCCCCUGGAAUGCAAUCACCCCUCCACCGCACCCCCCAGUGUCGUGUCCUAUCAUACCAUGGUCUCUGACCCCGAGCUCUUCCCUGUGAAGAAGUCCCAGAAAUAAUUGGAAUGACUUGGAGAUGGCUUCUCCCUCUCCUCCUGGGGCGCCUGCCUCACCCAGACACUGUUAGCCACCUGUUUCUCUCUCUCCUCCUGGGGUGUCUGCCUCACCCAGACACUGUUAUCCCCCUGUCCUCCCAGGCUGGAGCAUGAGGCAGCCCCCAGGGUGAAGCUCAGAUCUUCCCCCAGCGGAGCCCUCUGUUCCUGGGCAUGGUAGCUGUUCUCUGGGUGGACUCUGGAGCUGCUAGAGGACUGGGACAGACUCAGGAGGUUGUGGUUGGAGUGGAACUGUCUCAUCUGGCCGAUGGACUUGGACAGGAUCACGUUGGAGCCUGUGGAGGGAGAGAUGUGUUGUUAUUCUAGAUAUUUUCAUUUAGAAUGGUGUUACAAUGUUAUUUAGAAUGGUGUUUAUUACAAUGUUUUCUAGAUUGUUACUUUGUUGUUACAAAGUAAUGUUGUUCCUUUGUUAUUUAGAAUGUUGCUACUUUGUUGUUACAAUGUUAUUUAGAAUGUUGCUACUUUGUUGUUAAUGUUAUUUAGAAUGUUACUAUAGUGUUGUCUAGAAUUGUUGUUGUUGCAAUGUUAUUUAGAAUGUUGCUACUUUUUAUUUAGAAUGUUGUUACUUUGCUAUUACAGUGUUAUCUACAAUGUUUGUUGUUACAAUGUUAUUUAUAAUGUUUUUACAAUGUUAUUUAGAAUGUUGUUAUAAUGUUAUUUAGAAUGUUGUUACAAUGUUAUUUAGAAUGUUGCUACUUUGUUGUUACAAUGUGAUUUAGAAUGUUUAUUUGUUAUUUAGAAUAUUGUGUCUUUGCUAUUAGUGUUAUCUGCAAUGUUUGUUGUUACAAUGUUAUUUAGAAUGUUUUUACAAUGUGUUUUAGAAUGUUGUUACUUUGUUAUUACAAUGUUGUUUAGAAUGUUGUUCAUUUUAUUUAGAAUGUUGUUACUUUGUUAUUACAAUGUUGUUUAGAAUGUUGUUCAUUUUAUUUAGAAUGUUGAUCCUUUGUUGUUUAGAAUGUUGCUACUUUGUUGUUACAAUGUUAUUUAGAAUGUUGUUACUUUUUAUUUAGAAUGUUGUUACUUUGUUGUUACAAUGCUAUUUAGAAUGUUGUUACUUUGUUGUUACAAUGUUAUUUAGAAUGUUGUUACUUUGUUGUUACAAUGUUAUUUAGAAUGUUUUUACUUUUUAUUUAGAAUGUUGUUACAGUAUUAUUUAGAAUGUUGUUACUUUGUUGUUACAAUGUUAUUUAGAAUGUUUUUACUUUUUAUUUAGAAUGUUGUUACAGUAUUAUUUAGAAUGUUGUUACUUUGUUGUUACAAUGCUAAUUAGAAUGUUGUUACUUUGUUGUUACAAUGUUAUUUAGAAUGUUUUUACUUUUUAUUUAGAAUGUUGUUACUUUUUAUUUAGAAUGUUACUUUGUUAUUUAGAAUGUUGUUACUUUUUAUUCAGAAUGUUGUUAAUUUUAUUUAGAAUGUUGUUCAUUUGUUAUUUAGAAUGUUGUUACUUUUAUUACAAUGUUGUUUAGAAUGUUGUUCAUUUUAUUUAGAAUGUUGUUACUUUGCUAUUACAGUGUUAUCUACAAUGUUUGUUUUUACAAUGUUAUUUUGAAUGGUAUUUCUUAUUACAAUCUUAUCAAUUGGUACG